rnacentral:tRNA from 1 species
GGGGAUGUAACUCAGUGGUAAAGUGGGUGCCUGGCGUGCACGUGGUCAUGGGUUCAAUCCCCAGUGCCUCUG